AUGGGCGAGAGCCUGAUCCAGCCAUGCCGCGUGCAGGAAGACUGCCCUAUGGGUUGUAAACUGCUUUUAUACGGGAAGAAACACCUCCACGUGUGGGGGCUUGACGGUACCGUAUGAAUAAGGAUCGGCUAACUCCGUGCCAGCAGCCGCGGUAAUACGGAGGAUCCAAGCGUUAUCCGGAAUCAUUGGGUUUAAAGGGUCCGUAGGCGGGUGCGUAAGUCAGUGGUGAAAGUCUGCAGCUUAACUGUAGAACUGCCAUUGAUACUGCAUACCUUGAGUAAUUAUGAAGUGGUUAGAAUAUGUAGUGUAGCGGUGAAAUGCAUAGAUAUUACAUAGAAUACCGAUUGCGAAGGCAGAUCACUAAUAAUUUACUGACGCUGAUGGACGAAAGCGUAGGUAGCGAACAGGAUUAGAUACCCUGGUAGUCUACGCCGUAAACGAUGGUUACUAGCUGUUUGGACCGAUUAAGGACUGAGUGGCUAAGCGAAAGUGAUAAGUAACCCACCUGG
rnacentral:rRNA from 1 species